CUCCUACCCCCCACACUGGCUACUAUCCACCCCAACCCCCACCUCAGCUCAAGGCUCCAGGCUCUCCCUGACAGGAAGCUUCUGCUCCUGGUUCUUGCUGCUGGCCACUUCCCUUCCUCCCUCUGACUUCCCAGCAGCUGCUGAGAUUUGCAGACCGCUCGCUGACCUGGUGCCCAGCUUGGACUGGACAAGGACUCACUUCGGAAAAGUCUGUACCCUCGACGAAUUACAGCAAGGCUUGGCAGCAAGCACCUUCAUCCUGGGAGCCAUCUUGCCAGCCCCAGAUUCCUUUGUAUUCUCUAUCAGGGAGUGACUUUCUGGAUCCCUGGCAAUGCAAGUAGUACUCCACCCUAGAGACCUUCUCAUCUUCUACCUGCCUUCUCCAAAACUGCUGGGACAAAGGCUGGCCUCAGACUCAAGGCAGUCCUCCUGCCUCAGCCUCCCAGACACUGAGAUUCCAGGUGUGAGGUACCAUGCUCAGCCUGAGCACUUCAUGAUAGCAAUGUAUCACAUCCAUCGCACUUAUCUGUCAGACCUUUGGGUAAGUUCAAUGUCUCAGUCGAUAUUUGUCUCUCUCUUGUCUGUCUGUCUGUCUGUCCCUCUUUCUCUCUCUCUUUGUCUUCCUCUUUGAUUUCUCCUGAGGUGCUUCUAUAUACAGCCUUAGCUGGCCUGGCAUUCACUAUGUAGGCCAGGUUGAACUUGUUGAGAGCCCUCUCCCUCUGCCUCCCAAGAGCUGGUGGUACAUGUGUGUACCACCACAGCUACAUAGUGCUGGGGCUUGAACCCAGCUCUUCACAGCUGCUGGGCAAACACUCUAUCCACUGAGCUGCAUUUACAGCCUCUUUUCCUCCUUUCUUUUCUGUGCUGGAGGUCACAAGCUAUGCAGUGCACUGAGUGCCUUCCUCAGCCCUUGUUAUUUUCAUAGUCAUGGGACUAUCUAUUAUUGCUGGGGACAUAGUUGGGAAACCACUACUAGAAGCCGGUUUCCUUUUGGAGGUGCUAAGCUCUGGAACAUUCUAUGGGUGUGUCCUCAGGCCCUGAAAUGCAAUAUGAACGUUAUUUUACCAGUUCUGAAGCGUAGAGCUGAAGAUGACGCCAGCUAUUGGGGGAAUGAGCAAGGAAGAAAGAGAGAGAGGAUUUUGUGGUGUUUGAGCAGGAAGGAGUGGGUUCAGCUGACAUCUGGGGACUCAUAUGUAUUCAUGAGGAAGACAGGGAUUGGACCACAGUUCCCUGAGGAGCAGGCUAGGAC
rnacentral:lncRNA from 1 species